rnacentral:rRNA from 1 species
GGGGAAUAUUGCGCAAUGGGCGAAAGCCUGACGCAGCGACGCCGCGUGGAGGAUGAAGGUUUUCGGAUUGUAAACUCCUGUUAAGUGGGAAGAAAGGCCUGAUAGUAAUAUGAUCAGGAUAUGACGGUACCACUAGAGAAAGCACCGGCUAACUUCGUGCCAGCAGCCGCGGUAAUACGAGGGGUGCAAGCGUUAUUCGGAAUAAUUGGGCGUAAAGGGUGCGUAGACGGUUUUUUAAUUCUGUUGUUAAAUUCCCCGGCUUAACUGGGGGCCUGCAAUGGAAACUGAUUGACUAGAGGGUGAGAGAGAGAAGUGGAAUUCCAGGAGUAGCGGUAAAAUGCGUAGAUCUCUGGAGGAACACCGAUGGCGAAGGCAGCUUCUUGGCUCAUUUCUGACGUUGAUGCACGAAAGCGUGGGGAGCAAAC